rnacentral:rRNA from 1 species
AACGAACGCUGGCGGCAUGCCUAACACAUGCAAGUCGAACGAGACCUUCGGGUCUAGUGGCGCACGGGUGCGUAACGCGUGGGAAUCUGCCCUAGGGUGCGGAAUAACUCGGAGAAAUCCGUGCUAAUACCGCAUAAUGUCUUCGGACCAAAGAUUUAUAGCCCUGGGAUGAGCCCGCGUAGGAUUAGCUAGUUGGUGGGGUAAAGGCCUACCAAGGCGACGCUCCUUAGCUGGUCUGAGAGGAUGAUCAGCCACACUGGGACUGAGACACGGCCCAGACUCCUACGGGAGGCAGCAGUGGGGAAUAUUGGACAAUGGGCGAAAGCCUGAUCCAGCAAUGCCGCGUGAGUGAUGAAGGCCCUAGGGUUGUAAAGCUCUUUUACCCGGGAUGAUAAUGACAGUACCGGGAGAAUAAGCUCCGGCUAACUCCGUGCCAGCAGCCGCAGUAACAC